rnacentral:rRNA from 1 species
UACCCUGGUAGUCCACGCUGUAAACGAUGAAGACUAGAUGUUGGGCAGCUUAGACUGUUCAGUAUCGAAGCUAACGCGAUAAGUCUUCCGCCUGGGGAGUACGGUCGCAAGAUUAAAACUCAAAGAAAUUGACGGGGGCCCGCACAAGCGGUGGAGCAUGUGGUUUAAUUCGAUGCGACGCGAAGAACCUUACCUACCCUUGACAUCCAAAGAAUUUUGCAGAGAUGUGAAAGUGCCGAAAGGAACUUUGAGACAGGUGCUGCAUGGCUGUCGUCAGCUCGUGUUGUGAGAUGUUGGGUUAAGUCCCGUAACGAGCGCAACCCUUAUCCUUAGUUGCCAGCAUUUAGUUGGGGACUCUAAGGAGACUGCCGGUGAUGAACCGGAGGAAGGCGGGGACGACGUCAAGUCAUCAUGGCCUUUAUGGGUAGGGCUACACGCGUGCUACAAUGGGCGGUACAGAGGGCAGCGAAAGCGCGAGCUGGAGCCAAUCCCGAAAAGCCGUUCAUAGUCCGGAUCGGAGUCUGCAACUCGACUCCGUGAAGUCGGAAUCGCUAGUAAUCGCGAAUCAGAAUGUCGCGGUGAGUACGUUCCCGGGCCUUGUACACACCGCCCGUCACACCAUGGGAGUGGGUUGUACCAGAAGUAGGUAGUUUAACCGCAAGGGGAACGCUUACCACGGUAUGGUUCAUGACUGGGGUGAAGUCGUAACAAGGUAACCGUA